UAGUCUUUGCCCCUAGGCGGGUGUGCCCCUUCAGUCUUGUUUUACAGGCCCGUCUAAUCUUUGGCUGAAGGGUGAACCUCAGGAGUGGGUUGCAUCAUUUCUAAGUCCCCUUCCAAUCCUGUUUUAUAAUUCUUUGACAUAGGACGUCCCAGAUCCCACAAAGUGUUUUGUGACUCGGUGGAGCGCAGACCCAUGGAUCCAGAUGGCAUACAGUUUUGUAAAGACGGGUGGCAGUGGUGAGGCCUAUGAUAUCAUUGCCGAAGAAAUACAAGGAACAAUCUUUUUUGCUGGUGAGGCAACAAACAGGCAUUUUCCACAAACUGUUACCGGGGCAUAUCUCAGCGGUGUGCGAGAAGCAAGCAAGAUUGCGGCGUUUUAGUUUGUCUGGACCCAGUUUUCUUCUGUCCCUGGGGGGGAACGUUUGAAACACGUUAGACCCCCGUUUCUUAAGGACAAAAAAAAAAAAAAAAGCCCU